GUGUCCUACGGGAGGCAGCAGUAGGGAAUAUUGCACAAUGGACGAAAGUCUGAUGGAGCAACGCCGCGUGAGUGAAGAAGGGUUUCGGCUCGUAAAGCUCUGUUGGUAGUGAAGAAAGAUAGAGGUAGUAACUGGCCUUUAUUUGACGGUAAUUACUUAGAAAGUCGCGGCUAAAUACGUGCCAGCAGCCGCGGUAAUACGUAGGUGGAAAGCGUUGUCCGGAUUUUUUGGGUGUAAAGCGAGUGCAGGCGG
rnacentral:rRNA from 1 species